CUACGGGCGGCAGCAGUGGGGAAUAUUGCACAAUGGGCGCAAGCCUGAUGCAGCCAUGCCGCGUGUGUGAAGAAGGCCUUCGGGUUGUAAAGCACUUUCAGCGGGGAGGAAGGCGGUGAGGUUAAUAACCUCAUCGAUUGACGUUACCCGCAGAAGAAGCACCGGCUAACUCCGUGCCAGCAGCCGCGGUAAUACGGAGGGUGCAAGCGUUAAUCGGAAUUACUGGGCGUAAAGCGCACGCAGGCGGUCUGUCAAGUCGGAUGUGAAAUCCCCGGGCUCAACCUGGGAACGGCAUUCGAAACUGGCAGGCUAGAGUCUUGUAGAGGAGGGUAGAAUUCCAGGUGUAGCGGUGAAAUGCGUAGAGAUCUGGAGGAAUACCGGUGGCGAAGGCGGCCCCCUGGACAAAGACUGACGCUCAGGUGCGAAAGCGUGGGGAGCAAACAGGAUUAGAUACCCGGGUAGUC
rnacentral:rRNA from 1 species